AGGGAGCCUGGAUGGAUUGUAAUGCACAUGGAUAGACUGAAAUGCUCAGCAGAUGAUUUUGCUUAAAUCUCAAAUGCAAACAUGGGAGCAUUUUCCCAAGAUCCUGCAUUAUUCCUGCUGCUAAACAUACUCCAAGAGUUCUCAGGAAAUGAGGACAACAGAAAGCUGCAGAUCCCAUGAAUGUAAAAAUUGUCUUGAAGGCAUGGAACAAUCCAGCCCUAAUUACAGCCAGCUGAAGCCUGCUCUCUUUGCACUGAUACUUAGGAACACACUGCUGCUUUAAUUUUGCCUGCCCAAGAGUCACGCUGCAUCUUUGCAGUUAAGAUGAAGACAGGUUGGAGGAGGAGGCUGAGGAAGAGCCUGUAGAACCAACUGGAAGAAUUAAGGAGCUUUCCUGGGAAAAGGAGCAGAGCUCUUUGGAGUUUUUCAAGGAGACAGCACUGUCCAGUCCUUUUGGGGUUUGUUUGUGGGGCUUUUUUCCCUCCUCUGGUAUUCUGCUUCUUGUGACUUCAAGUGUGAACACAUUUGUGAGUGACAAAGUUGGCAGAAAGAAGGCAAACACAAAUCAUUUGUAUAGCAGCAGCCACAAAUAACCAGGAGCAAAGUACUUAAACUUCUGUGCAAAGCAAACACAGCCUACCAAUGGCACAGGCUGAGCAACACAACCAGAACACCUUGACAACAAUUAUCACCACAAAAGGACCUUUUAGGACAUCUGAAGGGAAGAUUCUGAAAUAGCUCUGCAGAUGAAUAGCAACAAGUAAAAUUAAUAAGAACCAUCCUAAGAGAAAACACACAUUAUGUGCUUGAAAAUGGACUUAAUGAGAAGGGUGAAUACCCUCUCAUUGAAGGCAGGUAAGGGAACAGCCACUAAAUUAGACUUCAACUUGUGGCUCAUUGUCUAAAUGGAGAUAUGAGAGAUGAAUCAAAAGCUUACUCUAGAUGGAGAAGAUUGAAUCUUCUCCUAACCCGAGUGUUACCAAACAAUUUGAUUUUGCAGAUGGGAUUGGCCAGAAAUAGGAUGCAAGAGAAAAUGAAUGAGAACUGAGGCCUGCAAAGCCUCCAGGAAUGUUGAGGGGACACCACAAUCCUUCGUAGUUUUGAGAACCUCACUCAGCAGCAAAAUUCUUCUUUGCAUAUUAUCAAGUUCUUUGAAAUAGAAAAAAAAGCCCUGAAGGAAAGAGAAAUCAGCCAACACUUCAUGGCGUGGAAUGGCUGCACUGAGAGAUUAUUUAAAGUGUCUGCAUAAGGAGAUGUGUUUGUGUAAAAUGUUAACCCAUUCCAAAAUGUCUUUUUUUUCUGGCUAGAAGAACAAGAGACAGGGAACCUUGUGGAUUCAGGCAGGAUGCUGCAGUUCAAGCAGCUGGCCAGGGGAGGAGGGAGGAUGGAUUUCUCCUCCUGUAGUUUCCACCAGCCUGCAGGACCUGUUCUCAAAUUGUGGACACCUCUGGGCAAAUGUCUAUAGGGAACACCAAACCAGGAAACAUUGCCAGAGCUGCAUCUAUAUAAUAAAAUAUCAAGUUACACACAUUUUUAAAUUUUACCUGCAUGCAGGUAUUUGCACUUCUGUCCUAAAAUUCUGCAGGUUUUGCCCAGCAGUACAAAGGGCUCUCCUUGCAUUUCUUUUUUUGCUUGUGCAGCUGCAUUCCAACACCUCUGGCACAGCUGGAGAUGGCAGAGAUUCAGUGCCACAGCUGGAUAUAAAUCUGGUGUUCCUGUGGCUUGUGAGGAUCACUGAGGUGUUUUAUAGGUGCCACAGAAAACACUUUAUCUCCAACAUCAGCAUAUUGCACAUUAAAUGGUAGCUAAGGCAACAGGUGGCACAGAGAUCACAGAUACAUUUGUCAUUGUACUCACAAGCAGCACAGGGGCUUAAAAAACACAAUCUACCACUCCAAAAGAAAAGAAUCAAGCCACUCCACAUUCACUUCAGUUCCAGUGCCCGGUACUACAGAUUAAUUUAAAACAUUUGAAGUUAAUUGACAAAGAUGA